GACGAACGCUGGCGGUGUGCCUCACACAUGCAAGUCGAGCGGACGAAGAUUGAAGCUUGCUUCAGUCCUAGUUAGCGGCGGACGGGUGAGUAACACGUAGGAAUCUGCCUUCAGGCGGGGGACAACGGAACGAAAGUUGCGCUAAUACCCCAUAUGCGAGUAAUCGUAAAGGAGCAAUCCACCGGAAGAUGAGCCUGCGUCCGAUUAGCUAGUUGGUAGGGUAAAAGACCUACCAAGGCUACGAUCGGUAGUUGGUCUGAGAGGAUGAUCAGCCACAAUGGAACUGAGACACGGUCCAUACACCUACGGGAGGCAGCAGUGGGGAAUUUUACGCAAUGGGCGAAAGCCUGACGUAGCGACACCGCGUGAGCGAAGAAGCCUUUUGGGGUGUAAAGCUCUGUCAGCUGGAACGAACACAAUGACGGUACCAGCAGAGGAAGCAUCGGCUAACUACGUG
rnacentral:rRNA from 1 species